rnacentral:rRNA from 1 species
AGUAAUGUCUGGGAAACUGCCUGAUGGAGGGGGAUAACUGCUGGAAACGGUAGCUAAUACCGCAUAACGUCGCAAGACCAAAGAGGGGGACCUUCAGGCCUCUUGCCAUCGGAUGUGCCCAGAUGGGAUUAGCUAGUAGGUGGGGUAACGGCUCACCUAGGCGACGAUCCCUAGCUGGUCUGAGAGGAUGACCAGCCACACUGGAACUGAGACACGGUCCAG